rnacentral:lncRNA from 1 species
UGCAGCUGCCGCCCGGGUUCCGCUUCCAUCCCACGGACGAGGAGCUCGUGAUGCACUACCUCCGCCGCAAGUCCGCCGGCCUCCCCGUCGCCGUCCCCAUCGUCGCCGAGCUCGACCUUUACAAGUACGACCCCUGGCAACUCCCAGGUAGAGCUUCUGAUCUCGACCGCGUGUGAUGCCUGCGUGGUCUGCGUCGGAUGGUGAUCAACCUGUGAUCUGUCGUGACAGGGAUGGCGUCGUACGGGGAGAAAGAGUGGUACUUCUUCUCGCCGAGGGAACGGAAGUACCCGAACGGGUCGAGGCCGAACCGGGCGGCAGGAUCGGGAUACUGGAAGGCGACCGGGGCGGACAAGCCGGUCGGAGCCCCCAAGCCGGUGGCCAUCAAGAAGGCCCUCGUCUUCUACUCUGGCAAAGCCCCCAGGGGGCACAAGUCCA